UGGGGAAUAUUGGACAAUGGGGGAAACCCUGAUCCAGCAAUACCGCGUGAGUGAUGAAGGUUUUCGGAUCGUAAAGCUCUGUCAGAAGGAACGAAAAUGUUUGGGUUAAUACCCCAAGAACUUGACGGUACCUUCAAAGGAAGCACCGGCUAACUUCGUGCCAGCAGCCGCGGUAAUACGAAGGGUGCAAACGUUGUUCGGAAUUACUGGGCGUAAAGCGUACGUAGGUGGUUAUGUAUGUCUGGUGUGAAAGCCCUCGGCUCAACCGGGGAACUGCGCUGGAAACUACAUAACUAGAGAUCGAGAGAGGUAAGCGGAAUUCUAAGUGUAGAGGUGAAAUUCGUAGAUACUUGGAGGAACACCAGAGGCGAAGGCGGCUUACUGGCUCGAUACUGACACUGAGGUACGAAAGCGUGGGUAGCAAACA
rnacentral:rRNA from 1 species